AUGGCACAAUUCAAGAACAACUUUGUUGCGGCUACAUCAAACUCCCAAAGUCCAGGCUUGAAUACCAGUUCAAGUGUUUAUGCUAACAAGAGACCAGCACUGCGAGGAUUUGUCUCUGGUGGUUCAAUUGGCGGAGAUAUGAAUAGACCUCAGACAACCAGUUCAUUGCCUGGAUUUGUCUCUGGUGGUUCAAUUGGAGUAGAUAUGGAUAGACCUCGGACAACCAGUUCAUUGCCUGGAUUUGCCUCUGGUGGUUCAAUUGGAGGAGAUGCAACUCAAACUCGGAC
rnacentral:lncRNA from 1 species